CGCGGCCUAUCAGCUUGUUGGUGAGGUAAUGGCUCACCAAGGCGACGACGGGUAGCCGGCCUGAGAGGGUGACCGGCCACACUGGGACUGAGACACGGCCCAGACUCCUACGGGAGGCAGCAGUGGGGAAUAUUGCACAAUGGGCGAAAGCCUGAUGCAGCGACGCCGCGUGAGGGAUGACGGCCUUCGGGUUGUAAACCUCUUUCAGUAGGGAAGAAGCGAAAGUGACGGUACCUGCAGAAGAAGCACCGGCUAACUACGUGCCAGCAGCCGCGGUAAUACGUAGGGUGCGAGCGUUAUCCGGAAUUAUUGGGCGUAAAGAGCUCGUAGGCGGUUUGUCGCGUCUGUCGUGAAAGUCCGGGGCUUAACCCCGGAUCUGCGGUGGGUACGGGCAGACUAGAGUGCAGUAGGGGAGACUGAAAUUCCUGGUGUAGCGGUGGAAUGCGCAGAUAUCAGGAGGAACACCGAUGGCGAAGGCAGGUCUCUGGGCUGUAACUGACGCUGAGGAGCGAAAGCAUGGGGAGCGAACAGGAUUAGAUACCCUGGUAGUCCAUGCCGUAAACGUUGGGCACUAGGUGUGGGGAACAUUCCACGUUUUCCGCGCCGCAGCUAACGCAUUAAGUGCCCCGCCUGGGGAGUACGG
rnacentral:rRNA from 1 species